CUCUUCCUGUGUGGAACUUGGAUUCAAGCUGAGGGUGGGAAGCACUCAAGCUUGAUACUCUAGCCUUGCAGAGAUUCCCUGCUUAGCCCUUUUUUUCUUUUUCACCCAAAAAAAUCCUGCUUUACUCACGCUCUGCAACGUCUGUGAGCCUAAAUUUUCGUGGCCGUGGGAUGGACAGGAACCCUGCCUGCUUUAGCUGAACUAAGGAAAAGCCGUGCAACACAUCCAGUAGGAUCUACCUUCUAUGAAGAGAUGGGGUUCCACCAUGUAGCCCCGGCUGGUCUUGAGCUCAUGAGCUCAAGCGAUUCACCUGCCUCAGCCUCCCAAAGUGCUGGGAUUACAAGUGUGAGCCACCAUUCCUGCCUCUAUACCUCUAAAGGUGUUGAAUAAUUUGAAUGGGAAUUUGAAGGUCCAUGGCUUCCAAACCAGCAGGAGUUAAGGCUUAAUUGCUUGGAAAUACAUUUUCAUGGCUGAUACCAGUAACAGAAAAAUGUCUGUAUGUCAAGAGGCUCUGUACUAAUCAGUUAACCAUAACAUGUGCCACCCCAUACCUUGGGCCAAUGUAACUGUUAACAGCUUGAAGCUAUUAAAAAUGUACCAAUGGAGAA
rnacentral:lncRNA from 1 species